GCGGGCGUAGUUCAAUGGCAGAACACCAGCUUCCCAAGCUGGUAGCGAGGGUUCGAUUCCCUUCGCCCGCUCCA
rnacentral:tRNA from 1 species